rnacentral:misc_RNA from 1 species
AUCUUUCAUCAAUUCCAGGGAUAUAGGACACCGAAAAUCAUCUGGUAUAACUGGGGCCUUAUGAGUUGUCUCGAUAGAAACUUGUCCGCUACAAGUUGAAGACUUCUCCCUCGAAGAAGAAUCAAUCUCCGGAGUCUCAGUAAGCACAAAGCCCUUAAUUUUCCUCAGUACAAGUGACAUCUUCUCGAUUCUCUCCUCUGGAUCUUCACCAGUAGCAGUGACCAUAUCAUGCAAAGCACAUGAUUCUUGUGUGAGAUCGUAUAAUCCAGUCAGCUGUAACUUCUUAACCAAUUUCCUUAGGACAGCUGGAUCUAUAGCAGGAUCAUUACUCUGGCUGUAAAGGGACAAUAGAUCCUCAUGGAGUUCAGCAUCAGGUGUAUCAACCCUUCCUUUGGCUCUUUGGAACUGAGAAAGGACAAGCUCUACCUGCUCUUUAACUUCAUCAGAUAUGUCAAGCUCUUGAUAAUGAACUCCACCCAAAGCUUGUUCCAGCUGGGUUGUCACUUGGUGAAAUUUAUUCAUUAUCUGCUCCCUUUCUAAGACGAGAUAAAUCUUGCUUCCCUGGCUGCCGAAUUUGAGCAAUUCCUUGGUUGAUUCAAGAGCUUCUUUCAAUGAAACCAAAGCUAUCAUUGAGUUUUCAGGAACUGGUUCUUUGAUAUCCCGAAUCUCUUCGAACAUUGGAAUCAAUAAUUUAAGCCUCCUACCUAGAUUGCAAUACUCUUUCUUCACCGAAGUUCUGUAAUCUGAAAUGGCUGCUAUUUCGUUAACUACCUCAAUCAGCUUCUCCACUAACACUCCUCUUCCUUCUUCCAUUUCCUUUCAAAGAUCCAAAAAUUUUAACACAACAACUUAUAAAUAGGAGGUGACCUGAAUAGCUCAGUUGUUAGUCGUCGACUCCAUGAGAGAAAGGGAGAUAGAAAAUGGAGUAAGAAUUAAGAGAGUAUUGUUGUGGCGGCGGGACUUCAGGAUGAGUUCUUUUGAUAAUAAAGUUUACCGGCGGAGUAUUGUCGGUUAAUUGUUACCGGCGGUGGAUGGAAGUGUGGAGUAAGUGGAUUUGUGAAGAAGAAAACAGGUUUAUUGGUGGGUUUUUGAGUAACCGUUUACCCUGUCUCUAUG